rnacentral:rRNA from 1 species
ACACGACUACAUUAGAUACCCGUGUAGUCCUAGCCGUAAACGAUACUCGCUAGGUGUCGGCCACGGUGCGACCGUUGUCGGUGCCGUAGGGAAGCCGUGAAGCGAGCCACCGUGGGAAGUACGGCCGCAAGGCUGAAACUUAAAGGAAUUGGCGGGGAGCACAACAACGGGUGGAGCUUGCGGUUUAAUUGGAUUCAACGCCGGAAAUCUUACCGGGACCGACAGCAACAUGAAGGCCAAGCUGAAGACUUUGCCGGAUUAGCUG